rnacentral:rRNA from 1 species
AAUGGGCGCAAGCCUGAUGCAGCAACGCCGCGUGAGUGAUGAAGGCCUUCGGGUUGUAAAACUCUGUCCUAUGGGAAGAAACAAAUGACGGUACCAUAGGAGGAAGCCCCGGCUAACUACGUGCCAGCAGCCGCGGUAAUACGUAGGGGGCAAGCGUUAUCCGGAAUCACUGGGCGUAAAGGGUGCGUAGGCGGCUUAUCAAGCCAGGGGUGAAAGGCAUUGGCUCAACCAAUGUAAGCCUUUGGAACUGAUAGGCUUGAGUGCAGGAGAGGUAAGUGGAAUUCCUAGUGUAGAGGUGAAAUUCGUAGAUAUUAGGAGGAACACCAGUGGCGAAGGCGACUUACUGGACUGUAACUGACGCUGAGGCACGAAAGCGUGGGUAGCGAA